GGAAAUGUUUGAAUCUUAAUGUGUUGUUUCAAAGCCCUUGGUUUUCUUAUCAAUAAGGCACCUUAUUGCUUUUUUAAAAAAAACCUUACGGGAAAAUCAGAAAAUACAACCCAUGAUUCUACUCAUUGUCGACUUGCUGAUAACUUGGCUAUUUUCUUUCCAGACCGCAUGAGGCAAAGAUGCCGGAUAGAAGGAUAACUGGAAGGUGUGGAAUGCAGUAGCCAAUUAAUUGUUGAAGCACUCUAGGCUGCUUCUUGAAUCUAGUGCUGUUUCUUUUUCCCACAGGCCACUGGCCCAACUUACUUUCCAUUUUAUUUCAUUUUUUGACUUGGUAAUAUAUUCAAGGUGUAUAUAGUGAGAAGGCACCCUAACCCUGACUCAGCUGCCCAGUUACCUCCCCAAAGGCAACCAUUGUUACCAAUUAAUAUAGCCUGAGUAAAUAUGGACAGAUUUUCUCCAUUUCCCUUUUAACACAAAAUAGAUGCGCCUUGUUUUCCCUCGUUUAACAUUUUGGAGUUCUUCCAUUAUACGUAAAAAUGGCACUCUUUUUAUGUUGCAUACUAUUUAGUUCCUGGAUGUUGCAUAAUUGACGCAGAUAACUUGUGUGCCCCUUCAAUGUGCCAGGUACUAUUAGCCAUGGAAAACAGAUGAACAAAGUCUUUAUCUUCUGGAGCUUAAGUUCUGGAGAGACAAAUGAACAAACAGAGAGAGACAGCACGAGCAGGGGAGGGACAGAGAGAGGAGACAUAAUCCGAAGCGGACUCCAGACUCCGGACUCCAAGCUGUCAGCACAGAGCCCGAUGUGGGGCUUGAGCCCACGAACCGUGAGAUCAUGACCUGAGCCAAAGUCGGAUGCUUAGCGUCUGAGCCACCCAGCAAAUGACCCUAUGCUGGAAUGGAACCUUUCUAUGAUGGCAGAAACGGCAUUUUAAUUUAUGUAAAUACCAGUAGAGGUCACUAUGCUCAGAGAAAUAUUCAUCUUAAAAAAAAAAAAAAAAGGUAACAUUCUGUUAACUGAAAACAUUUCCUGUUUUCAGGAAAUUUGAAGCAAUAUUUACUAGAACUAUAGUUUUACCCAACACUAAAGCAACUCCAGGCAUGGCCUCUGGUCAUAAUUACUGCUUCAAAGCAUCUACAACUCUUCUAGCUGCAUAUGUAAUGUUUAUAUUUGUUGUAUCUUUCUGAUGCGUUGAUGCUUUUAUUAUGAAAUACCUUUGUUUCUAUGAAUAUUUCUUGUUUUAAAAGCUAUUUUGUCUGAUAUUAGUAGAGCCACUCCAGCUCUCUAUUGAUUACUGUUUUGUAUCCAUGGUGGAUCUUUUCCAUCUACUUACUUUUAAUUUUAAGCCUAUUGGUGCAUACAGUUUAAGCUCUGUCUUGCUUGUUAAAUUCAGUCUGACAGAACUCUGCCUUUUGGGUUACUUAAGCCAUCUAUAGUUAAUAGAAUUAUUGAUAUUUUUUUCUGUUUUCUUUUUUUUUUUGUAUUUCCUAUUUUGUUUCUAUAUGUCUCCUGUCUUUUUCCUCCUCUUCCUCCUGUACCUGCAUUCUUUUGCAUUAAAUAUUUUUUUAGUGUAUCAUUUUAAUCCCUUUUGAUUUUCUUUUUUACUAUAUUUGUGAGUUACUUCCAUAGUUGUUAUAUCUUCAUUUAUCACAACCUACUUUAAAUUAAUAUUCUGGCAAAAUUCAGAAAGUUUGCUCCAAUUUAUUUCCUUUUCCUAGACUUCCUUCCCUUGUGCUGUAUAUAUUAUAAGCUCAGUUAUGCAAUGUUAUAAAUUAUUGCUUUAUACAGUCUUAGGUCUUUAUAGAAGAGUCGAGAAAAUAAACACACCCAGUUUCGUUAACCCCUAUAUUUAUGCCAUUUCUGAUCGUUUCUUUCCAAGGAUUCAAGUUGCUGUCUUAAUUUGCUUUUGGCAUGAAGGACUUCCUCCAGUAUUUCUGAUAAGGCAGGUCUGCUAGCAAUGUUUUCAUUUACUUUUGCUUUUGAAGAGUGGAUUUGGGUGAUACAAAAUCCUUGGAUUUUAAGCACUCUGUCAUUCCGCUGCUUCCUGGACUCCCAUUGUUUCAGAUGAAGAGUCUGAUGUUAAUUGGUCCCCUGUAGUAAUGAGUCAUUUUUUUCUCUUGCUUUCAAAUUUUCUCUUUGUUUUUUGGCAUUCAACAGUUUAAAUAUUAUGUAUUUAGGUGGGGAUCUCUUUGUAUUUAUCCCUCUUGGAGUUAUUUGAGUUUUUGGAAGUAUAGAUUAAUGGCUUUUGUCAACUUAGAGGUUUUUUUGCCAUUGUUUUUUGAAAUAUUUUUCUGACCCUUUCUUUCCUCUCCUUCUUGGACUCAUUACACAUAUGUUGGUGUGCUUGGUAUGUCCCAUAGGUCUCCAGGGUGCUGUUCUGUUUUCUUUAAUCUCUUUUCUCUGUCCUUCAGAUUGAAUCAUUUCUAUUGAUUUAUCUUUAAGUUCACUUAUUUUUUCUCCUGUCAUCUAUUGCCGAGCUUCUCUAGUGGACUUUUCAUUUGUUAUUGUACAUUUCUUUUUUAUUUUUUUUUUUAACAUUUAUUUAUUUUUUAGAGACAGAGCAUGAGCAGGGGAGGGGCAGAGAGAGAGGGAGACACAGAAUCUAAAGCAGGCUCCAGGCUCUGAACUGUCAGCACAGAGCCCAAUGUAGGGCUCCAACUCAGGAACCACGAGAUCACGACCUGAGCCAAAGUUGGACGCUCAACUGAAGGAUAAUCUGUCUCUAUUCAGUUUUUUGGUUAUUUUUUAAGAAACUUUGUGUUUAUUUUUAAGCUCAGUUUUCUAGGGGGUUUCCCUGUGUCUGCAUAGCUUAGUGGUCAGCCAACCACCAGACAGGCACCUCAACCAGUCAGAUUUCUGCCCUCUGCUGAUCGAUCUGUUUGUAGAUGGGGAGUGACUUCAGUGUUUGGGGUGUUUUCAAGUCUGUCCUGGCUUUUACUUUUUGCUGAACCCCUUUUAAGUUCCUGUGCACAUGAAAGCAGCCUCAGAGUUAGCCAGGAAUAUACAGCUUGGACCUCUCUGGUCUCUCCUCUGCAUGUGUGCAGCUUUAGAUCAGCCAGAAAGCUGCACGUUCCAACUAGAUUGCAACCUCAGGGUUAGUAGAGCCACCAGGUGUCCCGCUUGCAUAGCAAUGUGGUCAUUACUUCUAUUGAUAAAGCUAUUACUGGAUGUUGGUAUCACCUGUCACUCCAAAUUGAGUGAACCCCAUCUUCAACCACAGGAACCUGCUGGUCUUCACGUUCUGUUUUGCCUGGACAGAACCUCCAUAAUGACUGAGCUGGGGGAGUAGGGAAUGGUAACAGCCCUGGGUGAGAACGCCACAGUCUCCCACUGUUCCUCCACAAAGUUCAGCAAUUUUCCAAACAAAUACGUCUCAGAUUGCUGUAUGCUUUGGGCCAGUUUCCAGAGCACUAAAGUUGUUUUGCCACUUCCCCCCACCCCCCUUGGCAUUAUAGUUGCAUUUUUGAGGAGAGGAUUUGCUGACGUCUUUAACUUGGCUAUAGCUGGAAGUGCUACCCAAAGCAUCUGAGACUUGAAUUAUGAUUGAGUAAUUGGAGAAGUUGAAACUUGGAAAAGGAUUGUACUCCUGUCAUAACUGCCUACACAGCCCACUGCAAACUGGUGAUCCAGUUGUUUAAGAUGGUUAUGACUGAGAAUGGGAACUGGCCGGGGAACAGGGGGUAUGUGCUGUUUCCUUUCUGUCUUCUGCUGGUAGUCCUGUAUUUUCUCCUGUUCCACUUUUUGCAAACUAUCCAUGGAUUCGUUGACAUAACUUCCUUCAGUCCUUUGAGAGUGGACCAUCAUUGGUUACCGAUAGUCACGAUAGUCCAACCUCCACAGCAGGCCAUCUUAGUUUAUGUCUUUACAGCAACAUUUGUGCAGGUGUUCAGUAUUAUUACCUCUUACCUUGUUAGGCAAAAUGAUUGGGAAUUGGAAAAAUGAAAAUCCCACAGCGAAUGAUAAGAACUUAUAAGUUCCAUGAAUUCGAAACAGGAAUCCAUAGAUCAUUGAACUGAAGUCAAUGAUACGCUCACCUGUGAAGGAUCAAAACUGAAUAAUUGUACUAGUCUGGUUGUGGGUAGUAGAGGGUAUAUGGUAAAGAAGGGAUGGACUCCUGGGGGGCCUAGAGACUUUGCUUUUUCGACAAGGCUUUAAUAAUUGUGUGGUUAUGUGGUGUUUUCAUAUUGAAUAAUACCAUGUUUGUCUUCACCACCUCAUAUGAGCUAAGUGUCCUGUUAUUAGACAGUAGAGUUUUGUUUCUUGCUGACAUCUUUAGUGAGUUCAUAGAGACCUUGUCACACUCUACAUGUCUCGUAACUAUGUAGUAGGUCUUUUCUUAGGGAAAUCAAAGUUCUCUUUUCUAUGUGUUUUUCAUGAAAAGGGAUAGAUUGGUUGCUACCACAAAAGAUCAAUUUCUCUAAAAUACUACUUUCAUCAGAUUUGUAGCUUGACAUACUUAACCUUUUUAUUGUCUUUCGUAAGCAUAAUUAAUUACCAGUAUCUUCUUCAACUGCCCUAAAGGUGCAUAUCCUUACUGGGGCUACAUAACUUUGUUUUUUAGUUUAUUACUUUUUUAAUGACUGGUAGAUGUUACUUUAUUUUUUCUUUGUAAUUUAUUUGUAUGUUAAAAAAUUUUUUUAAUAUUAUUUUGAGAGAGAGAGAGAGCAGGAGCAGGGGAGGGGCGGAGAGAGGGAGACACAGAAUCCAAAGCAGGCUCCAGGCUCUGAGCUGUCAGCACAGAGCCUGCUGAGGGGCUCGAACUCACGGACCGUGAGAUCAUGACCUGAGCCAAAGUCUGGCGCUUAACCGACUGAGCCACCCAGGUGCCCAAUCUGUUUCUUUCUUUCUUUUUUUUUUUUUUUAAAUAAUUUUAAGUUUAUUUUGAGAGAGAGCAUGAGCAGGGGAGAGGGAGAGAGAGAAUCCCAAGCAGGAUCUGUGCUAUCCUCAGGGAUCCUGAUGCAGGGCUUGAACUCACGAGCUGCAAGAUCAUGACUUGAACCCAAAUCAAGAUUCAGUCACUUGACUGAGCCACCCAGGAGCCCCUGAUCUCAUCUCUUUUAAUGGCCACAUAGUAUUCCAUUGUAUGGAUUAUUAUUUAUCCAUUCUUGUAUUGAUGGGUGUUAGGUAGUUUAAAAUUUUCCUUAUUACCGAUUAGAUUGAGAUAAACAUCCUUGUCUGAAUGUUUGUCUUUACAGAUUUCUAUAGAAAGGAUUUCUUUUUUUGAGCAGGGCAAAUCAUAAAAUUUUAUUGAAAAACUUUUUUUU